rnacentral:rRNA from 1 species
UACGGGGGGGGCAAGCGUUGUUCGGAAUUACUGGGCGUAAAGGGCCAGUAGGCGGCCAACUAAGUCGGAUGUGAAAUCCCCAGGCUUAACCUGGGAACUGCAUCCGAUACUGGAUGGCUUGAAUUCGGGAGAGGGAUGCAGAAUUCCAGGUGUAGCGGUGAAAUUCGUAGAUAUUGGGAAGAACACCGGUGGCGAAGGCGGCGCUCUGGACCGAGACUGACGCUGAGGCGCGAAAGCGUGGGGAGCAAACAGG